rnacentral:rRNA from 1 species
AAACCAACGGGGAUUGCCCCAGUAACGGCGAGUGAAGCGGCAACAGCUCAGAUUUGGAAUCCGGCGCCCUUGCGGCGCCCGAGUUGUAAUCUGCAGAGGAUGCUUCUGGCGCGGCGCCUUCCGAGUUCCCUGGAACGGGACGCCACAGAGGGUGAGAGCCCCGUACGGUCGGAUGCCCAGCCUGUGUGAAGCUCCUUCGGCGAGUCGAGUAGUUUGGGAAUGCUGCUCAAAACGGGAGGUAUAUGCCUUCUAAAGCUAAAUACCGGCCAGAGACCGAUAGCGCACAAGUAGAGUGAUCGAAAGAUGAAAAGCACUUUGAAAAGAGGGUUAAACAGUACGUGAAAUUGUUGAAAGGGAAGCGCUCGCGGCCAGACUCGGGCCUGGCGGAUCACCCGGCGCUCGCGCCGGUGCACUCCGCUGGGCCGCGGGCCAGCAUCGGCCCGCGGCGGGGGACAAAGGUGCCGGGAACGUGGCUCCCUCGGGAGUGUUAUAGCCCGGUGCGCAACGCCCCGCGGCGGGCCGAGGUACGCGCGUCCGCAAGGAUGCUGGCGUAAUGGCCGCCAGCGAC